UUUUGUAAUCAUACAAGCAUCAAUGCAUCAAAUUUUAUUAGAACUAUAUAAUUAAGCAUGCUUGGGCUAGAGUAGCAUUAAGAUGGGUGACUUCCCAAGAAGUUAUAGUAUUGCACCUU
rnacentral:rRNA from 1 species